CACAGGUCAGAAUUGAGCUGAUCAGAAAUAAUAAAUGUAAUUUGAAAUAAUUAUAUUUUCAUUUAAAAUACCCAAAAAGGGUGAUAUGAUGUGUUAUGAACGGGAAAAAAUAGUUAAUAACAAAUAAAUGCAAACGUAAUAUUUUGUUAUAUGACGGGCGCUGUGUAUGACGUCACAGAGAUGAGACGGAAUACUGAAAAAGAGAGCACGCGCUCGCAAAAAUCGCGGGUGUUAUUGAAGCGGAUUGAAAGUGUGAUAGUUGAUGAUAUUGAAGUGGACGAUAGCCGAUUGUGGACCCUGUAAAAUUCCGAUGCGGUUGAUUUAUUGUGUUGAAAUCCCCCGGAUUUGGUGAGUUUCAAAAUAAUAUAAUGCUCAGUCCUCUGAAAUGAAGUGUUUAUGAGUUCUAUUCAUGUUCAAAGUGUUUAUAUGAGUUUAGAUGCAUUUAUUUGGUUAGUUGAUAUGUGUAAUGUAUUGAAACGGGGUGCAUUAUAAUUCUGAAGAGCUAAACAAUGCUCAUCAGCAGAGUAUUAUCAUUUAUGUAAAUGAAUGGUUAUGUGUGACAAGAAAAAUGUUAAGAUGGUAUUUUUCACCCAGUUGUGAUAAUGUAUGCAAGAUAUGUUGUGUUUAAAAGUUAUAUUAAUUGUCUAUGAUGUGUAUGGCACUGUUUGUAUGAACAGGUCAGGUUUUUGUGAAAGUCUGGAAUAAGCUGUGAUACUGAGAUGGCGAGCCUCCCAGUCUAAGAGCCGAAAAGGAAAGAAGAGAAUUCACGUUCUGUUGAGUGAUCUGUGCCUUGUCUACCCUCACAAGUGGAAAUCAUUUCAGCCUUAUUGGUAUUUCUCAUCGAUUACCUCAACGUUGCACAGAACUGAUUUUUGCACUACUGAAUGUUUACACCAUAGACAAUUGCACAUGUUAUACAAAGAUCUUUUUGCAUUUUUCAUCAUUCGGAUCCAUAGGAUUAUUUUCUUUGCACACAUACUUGAACUUUGUUCCAUUGAUUUGAGAAUGGUUUAUCCUCAGUGAACUAUUGACAAGUUGUAUUAUUAUUUUUGUGUUCUUAAUGUGAUCUGUUUAUUGGAAAGUGUAUAUUGUGUUGUAGGUUAAAGGCUUUAAUUUAACCAAUUUAAUAAGAAACAAAGCGCCAAAAUUAGAGAUUAUAAAGUAACACCAAACUAAAAUUGAGUUUAAAUCAAAUUAAACACAAAUUAAUAUACCAGGAAGGACGAUCUAUGAGCCAAAGAGACAAACAUAAUAUGAAUAUGAACAAUAUAUACCAUAAUUAGGUUAAGUAACUAUAAAGGAGCUCAAACCCUAAAUGUUUUAAAGGGGAAGAGGUGAAAGGGACAAUUUCAUUGUUAUACAUUUUUAUUGUUUCAUUGUCAUUUUCAAUUCAUAUGUACGUUCAUUUAAAUCUUCCUAAUAAGUAAAUGAAAAUCAA